UACGGGGGGGGCAAGCGUUGUUCGGAAUUACUGGGCGUAAAGGGCUCGUAGGUGGCCAACUAAGUCAGACGUGAAAUCCCUCAGCUUAACUGGGGAACUGCGUCUGAUACUGGAUGGCUUGAGAUUGGGAGAGGGAUGCGGAAUUCCAGGUGUAGCGGUGAAAUGCGUAGAUAUCCGGAGGAACACCAGUGGCGAAAGCGGCCACCUGGACUGUACCUGACGCUCAAACGCGAAAGCUAGGGGAGCGAACGGG
rnacentral:rRNA from 1 species